CUCAGAUCACGUAAAAUUUUAAUAGUCGAACAGACUAACCCCUUUUAGCUCCUUCACCAAAAUAAAUAUUAAUUCAACAUCGAGGUCACAAACUUCAAUUAUUAAUAAGAACUCGCUAAUUAAAUAAUGCUGUUAUCCCUAGAGUAACUUCAAUCUUUUUAAUUUUAACUUCAUAAAAAUUUUUAUCUUCAAAUGUUGCCCCAACCAAAAAUUCCUUAAGUAUUUUAAGCUUCUAGGGUCUUCUCGUCCCAAAGUUUAAUAAAAGCAUUUUUACUUUUAAUUUAAAUUCAAAAUAAUUAGAUAAAACUUUCUUUUUAGUAUUAACCCUUCAUUCCAGCCAUCAAUUAAAAGG
rnacentral:rRNA from 1 species